rnacentral:tRNA from 17 species
CGCGGGGUGGAGCAGCUCGGUAGCUCGCUGGGCUCAUAACCCAGAGGUCGCAGGUUCAAA